GACGAACGCUGGCGGCGUGCUUAACACAUGCAAGUCGAACGGAAAGGCCCUGCUUUUGUGGGGUGCUCGAGUGGCGAACGGGUGAGUAACACGUGAGUAACCUGCCCUUGACUUUGGGAUAACUUCAGGAAACUGGGGCUAAUACCGGAUAGGAGCUCCUGCUGCAUGGUGGGGGUUGGAAAGUUUCGGCGGUUGGGGAUGGACUCGCGGCUUAUCAGCUUGUUGGUGGGGUAGUGGCUUACCAAGGCUUUGACGGGUAGCCGGCCUGAGAGGGUGACCGGCCACAUUGGGACUGAGAUACGGCCCAGACUCCUACGGGAGGCAGCAGUGGGGAAUAUUGCACAAUGGGCGGAAGCCUGAUGCAGCAACGCCGCGUGCGGGAUGACGGCCUUCGGGCUGUAAACCGAUUUCGCCUGUGACGAAGCGUGAGUGACGGUAAUGGGUAAAGAAGCACCGGCUAACUACGUG
rnacentral:rRNA from 1 species